rnacentral:rRNA from 1 species
UGGGGAAUUUUGGACAAUGGGCGCAAGCCUGAUCCAGCCAUGCCGCGUGAGUGAAGAAGGCCUUCGGGUUGUAAAGCUCUUUCGGCGGGGACGAAACGGUCCGUGUCAACACCACGGAUCACUGACGGUACCCGCAGAAGAAGCACCGGCUAACUACGUGCCAGCAGCCGCGGUAAUACGUAGGGUGCAGGCGUUAAUCGGAAUUACUGGGCGUAAAGCGUGCGCAGGCGGUCUCUUAAGACAGGUGUGAAAUCCCCGGGCUUAACCUGGGAACUGCGCUUGUAACUGAGAGGCUUGAGUGCGGCAGAGGGGGGUGGAAUUCCACGUGUAGCAGUGAAAUGCGUAGAGAUGUGGAGGAACACCGAUGGCGAAGGCAGCCCCCUGGGUCGACACUGACGCUCGUGCACGAAAGCGUGGGGAGCAAACAGGAUUAGAUACCCUGGUAGUCCACGCCCUAAACUAUGUCAACUGGUUGUCGGGGAAGCAAUUCCUUGGUAACGAAGCUAACGCGUGAAGUUGACCGCCUGGGGAGUACGGCCGCAAGGUUAA